GGAAAAUACUGUCCUAGAAACAUAAAAUUGUCAGUCACUAGCCAUGCAUUAUGAAUGUCUGAAAAUCUUGUAUAAAACUGAGAAGCAGGGGCACCUGGGUG